AGCUUGCUUCUCUUGAGAGCGGCGGACGGGUGAGUAAUGCCUAGGAAUCUGCCUGGUAGUGGGGGAUAACGUUCGGAAACGGACGCUAAUACCGCAUACGUCCUACGGGAGAAAGCAGGGGACCUUCGGGCCUUGCGCUAUCAGAUGAGCCUAGGUCGGAUUAGCUAGUUGGUGGGGUAAUGGCUCACCAAGGCGACGAUCCGUAACUGGUCUGAGAGGAUGAUCAGUCACACUGGAACUGAGACACGGUCCAGACUCCUACGGGAGGCAGCAGUGGGGAAUAUUGGACAAUGGGCGAAAGCCUGAUCCAGCCAUGCCGCGUGUGUGAAGAAGGUCUUCGGAUUGUAAAGCACUUUAAGUUGGGAGGAAGGGCCAUUACCUAAUACGUGAUGGUUUUGACGUUACCGACAGAAUAAGCACCGGCUAACUCUGUGCCAGCAGCCGCGGUAAUACAGAGGGUGCAAGCGUUAAUCGGAAUUACUGGGCGUAAAGCGCGCGUAGGUGGUUUGUUAAGUUGGAUGUGAAAUCCCCGGGCUCAACCUGGGAACUGCAUUCAAAACUGACUGACUAGAGUAUGGUAGAGGGUGGUGGAAUUUCCUGUGUAGCGGUGAAAUGCGUAGAUAUAGGAAGGAACACCAGUGGCGAAGGCGACCACCUGGACUGAUACUGACACUGAGGUGCGAAAGCGUGG
rnacentral:rRNA from 1 species